UUGCACUAGAAAAACUUAGCGGCGAACGGGUGAGUAACACGUAAAGAACCUGCCUCAUAGACGGGGACAACUAUUGGAAACGAUAGCUAAUACCGGAUAACAGCAUAAAUCGCAUGAUAUAUGUUUAAAAGUUGGUUUCGGCUAACACUAUGAGAUGGCUUUGCGGUGCAUUAGCUAGUUGGUGGGGUAAAGGCCUACCAAGGCGACGAUGCAUAGCCGACCUGAGAGGGUGAUCGGCCACACUGGGACUGAGACACGGCCCAGACUCCUACGGGAGGCAGCAGUAGGGAAUCUUCCGCAAUGGGCGAAAGCCUGACGGAGCAACGCCGCGUGAGUGAAGAAGGAUUUCGGUUCGUAAAGCUCUGUUGUUAGGGAAGAAUGAUUGUAUAGUAACUAUAUACAGUAGAGACGGUACCUAACCAGAAAGCCACGGCUAACUACGUGCCAGCAGCCGCGGUAAUACGUAGGUGGCAAGCGUUGUCCGGAAUUAUUGGGCGUAAAGCGCGCGCAGGUGGUUUAAUAAGUCUGAUGUGAAAGCCCACGGCUCAACCGUGGAGGGUCAUUGGAAACUGUUAAACUUGAGUGCAGGAGAGAAAAGUGGAAUUCCUAGUGUAGCGGUGAAAUGCGUAGAGAUUAGGAGGAACACCAGUGGC
rnacentral:rRNA from 1 species